GAUGAACGCUAGCGGGAGGCCUAACACAUGCAAGCCGAGCGGUAUUGUUUCUUCGGCAAUGAGAGAGCGGCGUACGGGUGCGUAACACGUGUGCAACCUGCCUUUAUCUGGGGGAUAGCCUUUCGAAAGGAAGAUUAAUACUCCAUAAUAUAUUGAACGGCAUCGUUUAAUAUUGAAAGCUCCGGCGGAUAGAGAUGGGCACGCGCAAGAUUAGCUAGUUGGUGAGGUAACGGCUCACCAAGGCGAUGAUCUUUAGGGGGCCUGAGAGGGUGAUCCCCCACACUGGUACUGAGACACGGACCAGACUCCUACGGGAGGCAGCAGUGAGGAAUAUUGGUCAAUGGGUGCAAGCCUGAACCAGCCAUCCCGCGUGAAGGACGACUGCCCUAUGGGUUGUAAACUUCUUUUGGAUAGGGAUAAACCUACCCUCGAGAGGGUAGCUGAAGGUACUAGACGAAUAAGCACCGGCUAACUCCGUG
rnacentral:rRNA from 1 species